GGGGAUAUAGCUUAGAUGGUAGAGCGCUUGCUUAGCAUGUGAGAGGUAUGGAGAUUGAUACCCCACAUCUCCA
rnacentral:tRNA from 1 species